rnacentral:rRNA from 1 species
UACGGGGGGGGCGAGCGUUGUUCGGAAUUACUGGGCGUAAAGGGUUUGUAGGUGGCCUGCUAAGUCAGACGUGAAAUCCCUCAGCUUAACUGGGGAACUGCGUCUGAUACUGGCGGGCUUGAGGACAGGAGAGGAACGCGGAAUUCCAGGUGUAGCGGUGAAAUGCGUAGAUAUCUGGAGGAACACCGGUGGCGAAGGCGGCGUUCUGGACUGCAACUGACACUGAAAAACGAAAGCCAGGGGAGCAAACGGG